UUUGCACUUCAAUAUAAUGAUAUAAUCUGUAAAAAACAUUCUUUCUUCAUGAUUUCAUAAUUUAGAUUUCAGUGGAGAUCCAUACUUAGAAAAGAUCUUAAAGAAGUCUUCUGGAUGAAACCACAUUUUGUUACAUAUAUUACAUAUAAACUUGAAAUGAAUUAUGAGUUUACUUAAAAGUAUCCUAGGUGAACUAGGUGUUGCACUUCGAAAAUAGCAAAGAUAUUGUAAAAGCUUUCAAUUAUUUUGAGCCUUCAACUUCAAUUAAAACAUCAUGUAUCAAUGAAAUGGAUGGCCUAACUUACUUUGAUUCUAUACUAGUAGAGAUGCAAGAGAUAUCUGAGUCGGCCAGAAAGACAACAAAUGUAUUAAUGCUUUGUAGGAUAUUCUUACCUCGAGAUGCAACCAUUGCACUGAUCGAACAUGCUAAAAACUAAAUUUAUUCCACAUACCUAGUGUAUUGAGAAAUAAGGUGAGAAGAAUAAAUACACAGAAAACAAAACAUUGAGGGAGAAGUUGCAAGUCUGAAGUGUGCUUAAAACUUUACUUAUCAUCCAGCAACAUUGAAUAC